CCUACGGGGCGCAGCAGUGGGGAAUAUUGCACAAUGGGGGAAACCCUGAUGCAGCGACGUCGCGUGAGUGAUGAAGUAUUUCGGUAUGUAAAGCUCUAUCAGCAGGGAAGAAAAUGACGGUACCUGACUAAGAAACCCCGGAUAACUACGGGCCAGCAGCCGCGGUAAUACGAAGGGGGCAAGCUUUAUCCGGAUUUCCUGGGUGUAAAGGGACCGUAGCCGGCGGUGCAAGCCAGAUGUGAAAGCCCGGGGCUCAACCCCGGGACUGCAUUUGGAACUGUGCUGCUAGAGUGUCGGAGAGGCAGGCGGAAUUCCUAGUGUAGCGGUGAAAUGCGUAGAUAUUAGGAGGAACACCAGUGGCGAAGGCGGCCUGCUGGACGAUGACUGACGUUGAGGCUCGAAAGCGUGGGGAGCAAACAGGAUUAGAUACCCGAGUAGUC
rnacentral:rRNA from 1 species